rnacentral:lncRNA from 1 species
CUUUAGUUCUAUUUCGAAUUUGAAUUCUGUACUUCUGUACUUAGUGUAAAUCCAUUGUUUUCUUUUGCAUUGUUAGUGUAUAGAGAAAAUGAGUUAUUUGGGUGUAGGUGUUAGUCUUGGAACAGUUCCAGUGUAUCAUAGCACAAACCUGAAAUUGUUGGAUAAGAGGAUCAAGAUAGCUGAUUUGGUGUUAAGGUUUAUGAUUCUUGGUAUUGGAGUUGUUGCAGCUGUUCUUAUUGGAACUGAUUCACAAGUGAAGGUGUUUUUCUCCUUUGAGAAGGAAGCUAAAUUCUCUGAUGUUAAGGCUUUGGUGUAAGUAUCUAUUAAUCUAUGUUCUAUGUUACUUUCUAGCAAUAAAAGUGUUGCAUGUUUUGUUGUCCUAAUUCAUUAGUUUUUGAUGGAUUAAAAAACUUUGCAGAUUCUUGGUAGUUGCUAAUGGUUUGGCUGCUGGAUACUCUUUGAUUCAAGGACUCUGUUGUGUUGUGAGUUUGGUUAGGGGAAGUGUUCUCUUCAACAGGCCCUUAGCUUGGGCCAUUUUCUCUGCUGAUCAGGUACCCUUUUAUAUUUGAAAGAUCACAUCCUACUUUUUUUUUUUGUUGUCUUAUACAUUGUGGUCAAAACACAAGAUUAUCAAGAUUCUUGCAUCAACAUCUUGCUUUUUCCUCAAGCAUUUUGUUGCCAUGUUGAUUAAUAUCACUUAUUUUUUUUAUAAAUUCAUGCAAAGACAUAAUAAAAAAGUAAUUUGUCAUUAUGUCCAUGGUGAUAUAACAUGAGUGACUAUAUAUUUUUUUAUUUUAUAAUUUUUAGUUUUCUAGGUUCCACAAGUUUAGGUAAAUUUUCAAGUUUGAUAGGCUUAAUUUAAAAAAAAGAGUUUUAUUUGUUUGUUCUCACACCAACUUGGUUCUAUGAAAUGAGGUGAUGAACCCAUGUGAAAUUAACUAGGCAAAAUUGUCACACCAACUUAAUUCAUUAGUAUUGCUUGUGCUGUUCUAUCAUUAGGUUUUAAGGUUUAACGGGUUUCAUUGAUAUUUAAUUUGAUUGUAUGGUAAUUAGCUAAUUUUAGGUACUUAAUUACUUUGGUUAGAUAAAGAUAACUCUUUAUUUACUUCACUUCCUAAUUGAUUAAUUUUUCUUAGGAGAUUAAAGAAACAUACCUUUGUUGUACACAGAUGCAUACUUCUUUUAGCUUUGUGUAUAUUUGUUUUCUUUUGCAUUGUUAGUGUCUAGAGAAAAUGAGUUAUUUGGGUGUAGGUGUUAGUCCUGGAACAGUUCCAGUGUACCAUAGCACAAACCUGAAAUUGUUGGAUAAGAGGAUCAAGAUAGCUGAUUUGGUGUUAAGGUUUAUGAUUCUUGGUCUUGGAGUUGUUGCAGCUGUUCUUAUUGGAACUGAUUCACAAGUGAAGGUGUUUUUCUCUUUUGAGAAGGAAGCUAAAUUCA